UCGGCGGCGGCGAGCAGGCUGAGCCGCGUCCUCGCGCCGCAGGCGCUGCCUGCGCCCGGCUUGGCCGCACCGCUCUCCUCGCCGCCGGCCCACUCCUCGUCCUGCAGCGGCGGCCGUCCGUCCAGCGAGAUGUUGACUGAGGAUGCAGCCCCUGAUUUAAAUGCAUACCCGAGGGUGCGUAAGAACCCAGGAGCGAACAUCAAACGUGUGGCCAGACUAAUUGACACAUCUCCAUUUGAUGGUGCUGUCACUUUUCAUCUCUUUCUUAGCAAAGGCCAACAUAAAUUUUUACUUCGACCCAGAAACGUGCUCCGUUUUCCAUGAAGAACAAGGAAGAAGAGAAUGAUGUCUCCUUCAUCUCAACCUAUAAGGCUCGCUUUAAAUGAUACUUUCUCCACAGACCCUCCCUGACUUACACUGUGUGAACAGAGUUUUUCCCCAUCUCACAAGACGCUGCCCCCGUUCCUCCUUUUCCUGGAUUGGAGUCAGGACACCGGGGUCUCAUCCAUGUUCUGCAAUGAAUUUCCCUGUUUAAAGGUAGCAGCCCCGUGCUCAUGGCUCCUCUGACUGCAGGGUGAUGGCUGGUGAAUACAGACAGAACGCAAGCACCUGGAUUCGCUAUCAAAUAAUUGGGUGUUAUCUGGUCAGGUUGCUUAUAUUGGGGGAAGCCAGCUGCUAUGUCAUGCGGCAGCCCCGUGGAGAAGCCACCAUGAGUGAGCUUGAAAGUAGAUCUUCUGGGGUCCACCAAAAGCCAUGUGAACAAGCUUGGCAGUACAGCCACCUCCAGUUGAACCUCAAGGUGACUGCAGCCUUUGUCAACAUCUUGACUGUAGCCUGGUGAGAAAUCCUGAGCCAGAACCAUCCAGAUUCUUUUCCCUUAUAGGCCAUUACAGAGUACUGAGUUCCUGAGUUCAGGAAGACGUCACAGAUAAGACGAUGAAAGUGGACCUUGAUGGUAGGGGAGGAAGGUGGUGUUGGUGACGGUGUGGUGGUGGAUGGCUGGAGGAUAUUUCUCGGGUUGAAAGGAGGAGGAAGAGCUUCGCAGCCCAUGAAGUGGCAUGAAGAAAGCAUAAGGCUAGCCUGUUGGAGGAUGUGAGAGACAUGGGGAGGAGAGCAGAGUCAUCCUGGAUGAGGCCAUCCUACUAGCCAGCCCCCAGCCAUCCUGCCAGCUGACCACAAGUGUGUGAACAAGCCCAGUUUCCCAGAGGAUGGACUAAGAACUGUCACUACAUUCUACACACACCCGCCUGAAGCCGGCACGGGGCCGCCUCCCAGGGGCUCCAGCGUGGACGUGACAGAACUCCGCCAAACUCCUCCCCGAUCCUACACGGCCUCACAGAGAGCGUUGAUGGGAGCUGUUCUGAUUCCAGCGGUGACCAAGCUGUACAUACCCUUUAAGUGACACAACCAUUAUUUACAAAUGAGGGUGUGUCUGCUUUAAGACAUUUCUGUAAUUUUCAGAAAUAAUCAUAACCACAACCUUGGGCAACACAAAGGAGAAAAGCUGAAAGAAGAUGCAAUAUACACUAACAAAGCAGGCUUUACAAACUCUCAUGUGUUUGGCACCAUUUAAUCUUCAAGAAGAGAAUUGGUGACACUGAGUUAAUUAAAUGAGGAAGGGAGGAAAGUAAGAAAGACCUCAUAUAUUGCAAAAUAUCUAAGCAUUCAUAAUAACUGCAAUAAAAAAAUAAAAUUGACAACAUCUAAAUAAUAUCCAUGGAACUCUUUACCAACUUCGAGAAAAGAACAUCCCCCGGCCCCGCCCCCGACACUGAUAAAUAGUAAGUCAAAGGAUCGCUUAUCAUCUUGUCCAUUCAUUCAUUCAUUUAUUCAUAUAUUCAUUUAACAAAUAUUUAUUCAGAGCCUAAUGUGUGUCAGACGCCAGGGUAGAGUGUUGAAAAUACAAAAUGUUCACACUCUAACAGGAGAGAUGAUCUAAUAAAGAUAAUCAUGGAAUCUACUGGUGAGUGAUGUAACUUAAUAACACUAUUUCCCAUUUGGAGAUAACUUUAUAGUUUACAGGAUUCUUUCACAUCUUUUUGUAUCUUUCUGCUUCAUUACACUUAAGGCAUGUCUCUCAUAAACAGAAUAUGGUUGGGCAUAUUCUUCAAUACAAUCUGAGAUUGUCUUUUAACUGAAGAAUUUGUUUACUGAUACUAUAACUUAUUUCUAACAUCUUAUUUUGUGUUUUCUAUGACCACAUUUCCUGUA